CGGAUUGUAGGCUGAAACUCGCCUACAUGAAGCUGGAGUUACUAGUAAUCGCAGAUCAGAAUGCUGCGGUGAAUGCGUUCCCGGGUCUUGUACACACCGCCCGUCACACCACGGAAGUUGGGGCGCCCGAAGCCACUUAGCUAACCCUUUUGGGAAGCGAGUGUCGAAGGUGAAAUCAAUAACUGGGGUGAAGUCGUAACAAGGUACC
rnacentral:rRNA from 1 species